UACGAAGGGUGCAAGCGUUACUCGGAAUUACUGGGCGUAAAGCGUGCGUAGGUGGUGGGUUAAGUCUGAUGUGAAAUCCCCGGGCUCAACCUGGGAAUGGCAUUGGAUACUGGCUCGCUAGAGUGUGGUAGAGGGUGGUGGAAUUCCCGGUGUAGCAGUGAAAUGCGUAGAGAUCGGGAGGAACAUCUAUGGCGAAGGCGGCCACCUGGACCAACACUGACACUGAGGCACGAAAGCGUGGGGAGCAAACAGG
rnacentral:rRNA from 1 species